CAAAAAGAUAAUGUUAAGAAAGUAUCAGUUGUACCAGAAUACUUACACUGACCCCAGCGACCUGUUCUUGGGUUCAAAUAAUUUGGAUAAAGACCAUUUG